rnacentral:lncRNA from 1 species
AAACGUGUUUUAAUUACACAGAAAAAAGCGACGUCACAUCAAAUGAUUUAUCACUACAACAGAAUUAGAUUAUAGCGACACAUAUUUAGGACACUUUUGUAUAAGUGUCACAUUUAUGCCAAAACUUAAAAAAAAUCCUACUAAUACCUAAAUGUAAAGUCCAAGUCAACUAAAAAUAAAAAGGUACUGUACUCAACCCACUCUACUUAGCCCAUUCGGCCCGAUUACAAAUAGAAAAGAAAAAGAAAAGAAAAAAAAGAAAAGAAAAAUCGAUUAUCAUUUUUCCUUCUCCCCUAACUCAAUCGACUGAAAUCCUAGACGAAAAUCAUUUCCUCUCGUCCUCCUCCGCCACCGCAGCCAACGAAGUAGAGUUCCGGCGGUUGCUAGAUGCUUAAAUAAAUGUUGGUAAAUUAGCAGCACUCUUUUAGAUUAUAUCAACACUCUUUAACUGUCACUAUAUAUCUAGCGACCCCACAUAUAGCAACACUUUUCAAAAGUGACGGUAAAUUUAGCCAGCAGCACUUUUUUGACCUAUACCAAUAUUUAAAAGUGUCGCUAUAGACCGUUUUUGUUGUAAUGUAUUGUGUGAUAUAACUCUUCAAAUAUAUGUACUUUUUUAUCAUUAUCAAUUUUUCUUAUUUGCCUUUAAAUUAAGAACCAAAAAGAUAUUUUAAUUCUUUUAACUCUGAUGAUCGAAUAUUUAACUCACGUUUAAUUCGAAAUAAUUUAACGGAUGGUAGCUGCAGAGAAAUUUUUGAAUAAUGGAGGAAUAUACAAGAGGUAUAUUGUAAAAAAAAAAUUAAAUUAGAUAUUUUUAAAAUUUUGAGGAAUAUAUAAAUAAUUAUUCCUUUAUAAGAAUUGGAAAAAAAAAAAUUAAAGAAACAA